rnacentral:lncRNA from 1 species
ACUGGUUAAUAAUCGCUUAGAGAUAAGGAUAAUUAACUAGCCGGAUUAAGAAUUAACAAAGCUUAAUAGAGGCGGAUUAAAGCUUAAUGCUAAUUUAAGAAUCAAUCGUUAGGAAGAGAUUCCAACUUUAGGUUAUUAGGUUUAGGAAUUCGGUUAUCGAGAGAGAGAAACUGAAUUCGGUUAAGAAUUCAUCCACGGGUAGCAUAAUUAGACUCACCGAU